UACGAGAGGCCCAAACGUUAUUCGGAUUUACUGGGCUUAAAGAGUUCGUAGGCGGCGCAGAAAGUAGGGUGUGAAAGCCCUCGGCUCAACCGAGGAAUUGCGCUCUAAACUACUGUGCUUGAGGGACCUAGAGGUGAGCGGAACUGAUGGUGGAGCGGUGAAAUGCGUUGAUAUCAUCAGGAACACCGGAGGCGAAGGCGGCUCACUGGGGGUCUUCUGACGCUGAGGAACGAAAGCCAGGGGAGCGAACGGG
rnacentral:rRNA from 1 species